GUUUGUUUGGAGUUAUAAAGAAUUUAACCUGCCCCCUGAUUAAUUAUUAAAGGGCCGCAGUAUUAUAACUGUGCAAAGGUAGCAUAAUCAUUAGGUUUUUAAUUGAAAUCUCGUAUGAAUGGUUGGACAAAAGAAAAACUCUCUUUAUAUUAAGUUUUGAAUUUAACUUUUAAGUGAAAAGGCUUAAAUGUUCUAAAGGGACGAUAAGACCCUAUAAAACUUUACAUUGUCAUUAAUUUUGAUUGAAUUUAUGAAAUAAGAAUUUUAUUUGGUUAUUUGUUAUAUUGGGGAGAUAUAAGUAAAAUAUUUUUUUAACUGCUUUGAUAGUUAUACAAUUAUAAAUGGGUAAGUAGAAGAUCCUUUUUUAAGAUUAAUAGAUUAAGUUACUUUAGGGAUAACAGUGUGAUUUCUUUUGAGAGUUCUUAUCGAAAGAGAAGAUUGCAACCUCGAUGUUGAAUUAAAAUAUCUAUAUAAUGGAGAGGUUAUAUAAGAAGGUCUGUUCGACCUUGAAAUUUUUACAUGAUUUGAGUUCAAACCGGUGUAAG
rnacentral:rRNA from 1 species